UUGCCUUACAAUAUAAAGCGCCUUGGGGCAACUGUUUGUUCGUAAAUUUGAAUUUGACAUAUACUGUAUGUGCAGCACCUAUGCAAGGCCCGAAUCUCCAGUCCAGAUCAAACUGUCUGAGCUUCUCCAGCUCAUUGUCUUUUAAAGUUUCAUCCUCAGC